UCCAGGAGCUUGCUCCUGGGGAUUAGUGGCGAACGGGUGAGUAACACGUGAGCAAUCUGCCCUUGACUCUGGGAUAAGCGCUGGAAACGGCGUCUAAUACCGGAUACGACCCUCGGAGGCAUCUCCUGGGGGUGGAAAGAACUUCGGUCAAGGAUGAGCUCGCGGCCUAUCAGCUUGUUGGUGAGGUAAUGGCUCACCAAGGCGACGACGGGUAGCCGGCCUGAGAGGGUGACCGGCCACACUGGGACUGAGACACGGCCCAGACUCCUACGGGAGGCAGCAGUGGGGAAUAUUGCACAAUGGGCGCAAGCCUGAUGCAGCAACGCCGCGUGAGGGACGACGGCCUUCGGGUUGUAAACCUCUUUUAGCAGGGAAGAAGCGAGAGUGACGGUACCUGCAGAAAAAGCACCGGCUAACUACGUGCCAGCAGCCGCGGUAAUACGUAGGGUGCAAGCGUUGUCCGGAAUUAUUGGGCGUAAAGAGCUCGUAGGCGGUCUGUCGCGUCUGCUGUGAAAACCCGAGGCUCAACCUCGGGCUUGCAGUGGGUACGGGCAGACUAGAGUGCGGUAGGGGAGAUUGGAAUUCCUGGUGUAGCGGUGGAAUGCGCAGAUAUCAGGAGGAACACCGAUGGCGAAGGCAGAUCUCUGGGCCGUAACUGACGCUGAGGAGCGAAAGCGUGGGGAGCAAACAGGCUUAGAUACCCUGGUAGUCCACGCCGUAAACGUUGGGAACUAGAUGU
rnacentral:rRNA from 1 species